CCAAGGUGCAGAGUUAUGGUUAUAUUCUCAUUUAUGAUGAGGCAAGAACAUUCUUUGUUUCGCAAAUCAAACCAGAAAAGAAAAAAAACAAUGAAAAUUUGUAUUCAUUUAGUAGACGUCCAUACAAAGGACAGUGUAAUUAAGAAAGAAAGAAUGAAACAAACAAACAAAAAACUGAUGAGUACAUGUGAUACAUGUUAGCCUACAUUACGAAAACACUAGAAGCACUUACGUACGUCCAUUUUGAUAUCAGGUCUUUCUUCUAAGGGAUGGCAUUUUAACAUCCCUCAUACCCCUGUCUGCGCUGUGACCGGAUCUUCAGCGGUCAUCCCCUGCUCUUUCACUCACCCUUCUCAUGUCGUGGUGGAAAAGGUCGUGUGGCAGAUCGACCCCGGGGAGGGCAAAGAACUCUCGGAGUACCCAGAGUACGAGGGGAGAGUGCAGUACAGUGCCGAUAUUCACCACAACUGCACACUGACCCUGAGAGAUGUGGAAACAUCAGAUUCUAAGGUGUAUUAUGUGAGGAUUAUAGCAAAGAAUCAGUCACAUGAAGCGACUGAAGUCCAAGUGCAUGUCUCACAGCUUUCUGUCCAGAUUCCUGACCCAGUGAUUGAGGGUAGUGAGGUGAAGAUGAGUUGCAGCGCCCCCUGUGGUCUGGAGGACGACGCCACAGUGAUAUGGAGAAAGAAUGGAGAAGAAUUACCUGGUGAACAAACAAGCAACAUCGACCUUGUCAUCGAGAACAUUAGGACUGAGGACGAGGGUUACUAUUCCUGUGCCUUACAACAUGGCACACAUUCAUCUGAAGCAGUGGAGCUCAAUGUGAAAUAUGCUCCCAAGAACACCGCAGCAUCAGCC